rnacentral:rRNA from 1 species
ACGAACGCUGGCGGCGUGCUUAACACAUGCAAGUCGAACGGAAAGGCCCCUUUGGGGGUACUCGAGUGGCGACCGGGUGAGUAACACGUGAGUAACCUGCCCUUGACUUCGGGAUAACUUCAGGAAACUGGGGCUAAUACCGGAUAGGAAUCCUUGCUGCAUGGUGGGGGUUGGAAAGCUUCGGCGGUUUUGGAUGGACUCGCGGCUUAUCAGCUUGUUGGUGGGGUAGUGGCUUACCAAGGCUUUGACGGGUAGCCGGCCUGAGAGGGCGACCGGCCACAUUGGGACUGAGAUACGGCCCAGACUCCUACGGGAGGCAGCAGUGGGGAAUAUUGCACAAUGGGCGGAAGCCUGAUGCAGCAACGCCGCGUGCGGGAUGACGGCCUUCGGGUUGUAAACCGCGUUCAGCAGGGGCGAAGCUUGUGGUGACGGUACCUGCAGAAGAAGCACCGGCUAACUACGUG